rnacentral:lncRNA from 12 species
CAAUAAAGCCCUUUAUGUUGCUCCCGUGGUGCAGAUUUAGUAAUGUUUUGCUCCUGGAGGGCAGGCAUCAACAGGCUGCAAGCAAGGACGGGUCUUCGGAGAGGGGUGCUGUGAAGAAACGUGCGGGCGCAUGGUCCCAGUAUUUUCACCUGGAACAUCCGGGAGAAGACUCGGAGCCCUGGAAGCCACUCCGUUCUGUCCCACCCCACCGUGCAUUGAGGUCCUCAGCUCAAAUCCAGGCUUGCACCUGCUUCUCACUGGGAUGAUGUCACCUGACCUGUCCAAGCCUCAGUUUGCCAGGCUGUGGACUGGGGGUAAUGGCAGUCCCUACCUACGGGGUUGUCAGGAAGAUUCAGUGAGGGGGAGCUUGGGAACUGCUGUGCUGGCAGGAUGGCGAUAGUGGUGUCCUUUCCCCUGCUGUAGCAGUAGGGUGGCGCCCUGGUGCCGAUCCAUCAGGAUUCCUGGCCCGGCACCCACAGGACACCGCAGGGCCUGUCUCCCCGGCUCCCAGCAGGCCUACAGGAGGCUCGUCUCUGGGUUCACCAGAUGUCUCGCCACGGGAAGUGAGAAGGUCAAGCACAGAUGUGGCCAAAGUGAAUCAUCCGGCAGGGCCUGGCCCUGGACCCCAUGGACCGGGAUGCACACCCAUCUUUCUCAGACUCUGGAAACUGAGAGCCUGAUCCCCUGCUCUGUCCUCUCCCCCCGCAUGAUCCUCGACCCUGCCCAGAGCUCUUCCAGCCCCAGACACCCUCGCCAGGGCCAUGGGCGUGCGAGGGCUUGUCUUCUGAGUGGCUGUGCUGUUUGCUACAGACUUCUGAAUGCUAGGCCAACCAGAUGUGUUUUCAAAAUCUGUCCAGAUUUCCUUUCAUAAAAGUAGUGGACACAAUUCCAAAGCCACCCCAAUGCUACCAUUGUGUGUGCAUGUGAUGUCAAGGGUUUGUAUGACCACGUCACUCUUGAAAACUCAGCUGAAGACAAACGGAGUUUCAUGCAUGAAAAGGAGUCAGAAUCCAACAACAGGACCUCUUUGAGGGACCGCACGUGUGUCGUGGGCCACGGCAACCACCUGGCUCAUCAUGUUCACAGCUGGCGGGGGAGCCGAUCCCACACACAGCUCCUUGAACAGCCUCAAAAUACCGUGGACACUGUUGCGCGAUAAACAGAGGAGCAUCUUUGUCUCAGAUGCGAGGAAGUGCUCGCCCACCGGAGGUGGCGUGAGAUGGGCAAUAAACAGCCGUUCUCCGGGACCA